GCCAGACUCCUACGGGAGGCAGCAGUGGGGGAUAUUGGACAAUGGGGGAAACCCUGAUCCAGCGAUGCCGCGUGAGGGAAGAAGGUUUUCGGAUUGUAAACCUCUGUGGACAGGGACGAUAAUGACGGUACCUGUCAAGAAAGCCACGGCUAACUACGUGCCAGCAGCCGCGGUAAUACGUAGGGGGCAAGCGUUAUCCGGAUUUACUGGGUGUAAAGGGAGCGUAGACGGCAAUACAAGUCGGAAGUGAAAUACCCGGGCUCAACCUUGGAACUGCUUUGGAAACUGUAUGGCUAGAGUGCUGGAGAGGUAAGCGGAAUUCCUAGUGUAGCGGUGAAAUGCGUAGAUAUUAGGAGGAACACCAGUGGCGAAGGCGGCUUACUGGACAGUAACUGACGUUGAGGCUCGAAAGCGUGGGGAGCAAACAGGAUUAGAUACCCCCGUAA
rnacentral:rRNA from 1 species